UACGGGAGGCAGCAGUGGGGAAUAUUGCACAAUGGGCGAAAGCCUGAUGCAGCUAUGCCGCGUGUAUGAAGAAGGCCUUAGGGUUGUAAAGUACUUUCAUCGGGGAGGAAAAAACAAAACUAAUAAUUUUAUUUCUUGACGUUACCCGAAAAAGAAGCACCGGCUAACUCCGUGCCAGCAGCCGCGGUAAUACGGAGGGUGCUAGCGUUAAUCAGAAUUACUGGGCGUAAAGAGCACGUAGGUGGUUUUUUUAAGUCAGAUGUGAAAUCCCUGGGCUUAACCUAGGAACUGCAUUUUGAAACUGAAAUACUAGAGUAUCGUAGAGGGAGGUAGAAUUCUAGGUGUAGCGGUGAAAUGCGUAGAUAUCUGGAGGAAUACCUGUGGCGAAAGCGGCCUCCUAAACGAAUACUGACACUGAGGUGCGAAAGCGUGGGGAGCGAAAACAGGGAUUAGAUACC
rnacentral:rRNA from 1 species